CAAGUUGUUCUUAACAGAUUUGUUGCAAGCUGAUAUUUUCAAGCCUGCGUCAAGUUGUUGGAAAAACCUUGAUGUAUAAAUUGCGGCCUCAUGAUCAAACUGAUUUAAAGUUGAGACGUUAUUAUUAUGAGAAGAAAUUAUUAUGAACAACCGACUAUAUUUGAAAAACAUUAGUUGCGUAAACGCAACAAGCAAACGUAGUUGUACUGUAAUUGUCGCGAAAGUUUAAGCGCUUGGCCGUCUUCUUGUUUGUCGGCUCGCGACAAAAUAGUCCGAAUAUUUCGCUAAUUUGCCAUGUGGUUCAUAAUUUUUUUAGCAAAUGGCUUCGCCGAUUCAGAGCAAUAGCAGGCAAGUUUCGCACUUUUAAUUAUUCUUGGAUGGUUAAUCAAGGCUGUGUACAUCGUUAUUUUUGAAAAUGCG